rnacentral:rRNA from 1 species
GACGAACGCUGGCGGCGCGCCUAACACAUGCAAGUCGAACGAGCGAGAGAGAGCUUGCUUUCUCGAGCGAGUGGCGAACGGGUGAGUAACGCGUGAGGAACCUGCCUCAAAGAGGGGGACAACAGUUGGAAACGACUGCUAAUACCGCAUAAGCCCACGGGUCGGCCUCGACCAGAGGGAAAAGGAGCAAUCCGCUUUGAGAUGGCCUCGCGUCCGAUUAGCUAGUUGGUGAGGUAAUGGUCCACCAAGGCGACGAUCGGUAGCCGGACUGAGAGGUUGAAGGGACAAAUUGGGACUGAGACACGGCCCAGACGCCUACGGGAGGGAGCAGGGGGGAAUAUUGCAAAAGGGGGGAAACCCUGAAGCAGCGACGCCGGGGGGAGGAAGAAGGUUUUGGGAUUGGAAACUCCUGUUGGUGGGGAAGAAAAUGACGGUACCAAAAAAGGAAGGGACGGAUAACUACGG